rnacentral:miRNA from 3 species
AGGCAGUGUGGUUAGCUGGUUG